UUCUGCCAGUAGUCAUAUGCUUGUUUCGAGGAUUAAGCCAUGCAAGUCUGAGAGUAAACGUUAUGCGUGGGUCUGCGAACGGCUCAUUAAAACAGAGACAAUCUAUACGGUGAAAAGCAUCUUUCUUGGAUGCUCACUGGAUAACCCCACUUCAGGAAACGGGGGCUAAUACCUGGUCGAAAGGGGUGUGCUGUCAAACUGCUAGGCUUGCCUAGAGUGGUGCACCUCGCUCUUGUCUGUCAUGAGAACCAACGCCCGCAAGGGCAGUGGCCAAGUGAUGAAUCAGGACAAAGAGUCAAAGCCGUAUGGCGCGACCGUAUCGAGUCUCUGCCCUAUCAACUUGAUGGUAGCGUAGUGGGCUACCAUGGUUACAACGGGUACGAGGAAUUAGGGUUCGAUUCCGGAGAGGGAGCCUGAGAAAUGGCUGCUACUUCUACGGAGGGCAGCAGGCGCGAAAAUUGCCCACUCCCAAUACCUUGGGGAGGCAGCGAAGAGGAAUACUAUCCAAACGAAGUUCACUUCGUCGGGGUCGGAAUGAGUAGUAGUUAAAGAUACUGCUGAGUAACAAUUGGAGGACAAGUCUGGUGCCAGCACCCGCGGUAAUUCCAGCUCCAAGAGCGUAUAUUAACGCUGUUGCUGUUAAAGGGUUCGUAGUUGGAUUCAGGGAUGGGGAUUAGAGGUGGUCUCCGGACCUUAUGCCUUUCACUCCUCCAUCCCUGCUUGCGCGGAACCGUAGCCUUGGGAUUCACUUUCGGGUGAUGAUCAAAUUUCGCAUAUGCCAUAUGCAAAGGGCCGUCCGCCGUUAUUACUGUGAGCAAAACAGCGUGUCCAAGGCAGGCUUCGCCGUGAAUGAUAAAGCAUGGAAUAACAGAGGAUCGCACGUGACUGUGCUCCUUUGUUGGUUUUCAAGCAAAGUCCGUAUAAUUUUCGCAACAAUUCCGCUUCUCAUGGCUUUGUUUGUGACCGGUUUUCCGGGAACUGCAGGGUCUGGGAAGAGUUGGAUGUUGCGAACAGGGAUCAAUGGGGGCUGUCGGGGGAAGACGUAUUACCACGUCAGAGGUGAAAUUCUUAGACCGUGGUAAGACGACCUACAGCGCAGGCAUCUUCCAAGUAUGCCUUCGUUAAUCAAGAACCAGAGUGUGGGGAUCGAAGAUGAUUAGAUACCAUUGUAGUCCACUACGGUAAACGAUGACGCCCACGGAUCGAAUGUCCGUUAGCUGCAUCCGGUACUCCCUUUUACUCCUACGCGAAAGCUGAGGUUACGGUCUCAUGGGGGAGUACAGUCGCAAGGCUGAAACUUAAAGAAAUUGACGGAAUGGCACCACAAGGCGUGGAGCGUGCGGUUUAAUUUGACUCAACACGGGGAACUUUACCAGAUCCGGACAGCGCCAGGAUUGACAGACUGAAGCUCUUUCUCGAUU
rnacentral:rRNA from 1 species